GGGGCCGUAGCUCAGCUGGGAGAGCGCCAGAGUGGCACUCUGGAGGUCACGGGUUCGAUCCCCGUCGGCUCCA
rnacentral:tRNA from 1 species